CUCUGCAGUUCAGGCUGGCCUUGAACUCACUUUGUAGCCCAGGCUGGCCUCAACCUUGCAGUGAUCCUCCUGCCUCAGCCUCCUGAGUGCCGGUAUCACAGGCACGCACCACCACGCCCCGCUAAAUAAACUUUUGAAGCUAAUAAACUUCCACAGAGCCACCAUCGAACCAAGCGACCAGCACCAGGCUCCUGGAAGCUAUGGCACGGCAGAGAGGUUUUACAGAAGGAAGGAAAUGAGGCUUGGCUGCAGGAUUUGCUACUUACUGCUGAAGACUCUGAUUAAGUGGCUGAAGGUCUCCCAGCUUGUUUUUAUGCCUGAAGAGUCAGGAUGGUGGAAUUAUUGAGCAUGGAGCUGUUGUGAGGAUUAAAGAGACACUGCUGGAGGGAACCAAAGGUUCUUCACUACUGGCUGGGGAACCGAGCAAUUUUGACAACACCCAACGUGCAUGACUCUUCCCAGCACCCUGACCCCCUGAUCAGGGCUCUGACUGUGGGGAGAGCAAGCACAGGCUUAGAUUUCAUUUCUCUGCUGCCUGAGCCUCAUGGCUCUUAGGCAGAAAGAUGCAAGAUCCUUCUGGAGCCAUGCUGCCCACCUUUUUGCUCAGUCAGUACUGGCACAGGGCCCAGCAGACGAUGGCUGCUCAGCACGGAUUUGCUGAAGGAAGGGAGAGGUCAAAGCAGGACAGGGGGUCCAGAAGGCAGGUGGGAUGGGGAAGGGUGGGUUUCUGCUCUUGUUUCUGUGUGCUGACCCUUAGGAAGUGCUGCUGGCUACAUGAAGGAAGGAGAGGAAAGCAGGCUGCUAGCUGUACUCUGGCCACACGUGACUACAUGCGGCACGAAGCCCUGGGAUCAGGUGCAUCCAGCUGCCUCAGAGCUCAGGCGGGCCCCAGGCCCAGUGCUCUUCCGAUCUGCAGGAGCAACACUGCCUAAGUGGAGCCAACCCCAGCCAGCAAGGAUACCCACGGGGAGCUCUCAGCAAGCUUGCCAUGGGGCCUGGCAUUCUCACCAGGACUGCCACGCUUGUGGUUAGAGCAUUCACCUCAAAGAGCCAGAAUUAUUAAUCAACUCAAUGUAUGCGGAAACACAAGCUCAGGAUUCAAGCUCAAGGCAAACUGCGGACUACCAUGAUGCUGCCUUGAUUUCCAUUUUAAGUGUUCAUGGACCAGUGACACAACAUGCUAAAGGCUGCAUGAAGCACAUGGAACCUUGGGGUAACUUUAAGGCUUGGGCCUUUAUCUUUAAGGAGCCUCUGCUUGACUAGAGAGAUAUGCAUAAUUCAUAAAACAACAAAGCCUCUUACAAACCAGAAUGCAUAUAGUGCUCAACGGUGAAAGUACAUUUGGGUCUGAAACACUCCAGUUAAUGGACACCAAGGGUGAGCCUACUGAGCUUGGGGAUCCAUUCCCCGAUCCCUUGGGGAAGUGGCACCUAAUUUGGGUCUGUAAGGAUGACAGGAUGUCAGCAGGGAUGAGAAAACAGGAAACUUGGGGCAUGGAAACAAGUAUUUGAAAAAGUGAGCAUGAGACCCAUGACUAAGUCUUGGAGGAAUUUAGGGCUGGCAAUCAAAGGAGAGGAGAUGGGAAGGUAGACGUCCCAAAGCCAGGGAGAGGCCGCGUUCGGGAGGAGGGACUCUGCCCUGUUUAAUGAGGCUCCCAGAUCUUAGAUGGGGAGAUGGCAAUUAGACUGUGCAACAGCGAUGAGGAAACCCUGAGUCA